AUACGUAGGGGGCGAGCGUUGUCCGGAAUGAUUGGGCGUAAAGGGCGCGUAGGCGGCGCGGUAAGUCUGGAGUGAAAGUCCUGCUUUCAAGGUGGGAAUUGCUUUGGAUACUGCCGCGCUUGAGUGCAGGAGAGGUUAUCGGAAUUCCCGGUGUAGCGGUGAAAUGCGUAGAGAUUGGGAGGAACACCAGUGGCGAAGGCGACUUACUGGACUGUAACUGACGCUGAGGCGCGAAAGUGUGGGGAGCAAACAGGAUUAGAUACCCUGGUAGUCCACACUGUAAACGAUGAAUGCUAGGUGUAGGGGGUAUCGACCCCUUCUGUGCCGCAGUCAACACAAUAAGCAUUCCGCCUGGGGAGUACGGCCGCAAGGUUGAAACUUAAAGGAAUUGACGGGG
rnacentral:rRNA from 1 species